ACCUGAAAUUGCUCAGUACGGCGAGUGAGCGGCAAAGCUCAAAUUUGAAAUCCCCCGGGAAUUGUAAUUUGAAGAGAUUUGGGUCCGGCCGGCGGGGGUUAAGUCCACUGGAAAGUGGCGCCACAGAGGGUGACAGCCCCGUGAACCCCCUCAACGCCCUCAUCCCAGAUCUCCAAGAGUCGAGUUGUUUGGGAAUGCAGCUCUAAGUGGGUGGUAAAUUCCAUCUAAAGCUAAAUACCGGCGAGAGACCGAUAGCGAACAAGUACAGUGAUGGAAAGAUGAAAAGCACUUUGAAAAGAGAGUGAAAAAGUACGUGAAAUUGUUGAAAGGGAAGGGCUUGCAAGCAGACACUUAACUGGGCCAGCAUCGGGGCGGCGGGGAGCAAAACCACCGGGGAAUGUACCUUUCGAGGAUUAUAACCCCGGCCCUUACUCCCAUACUGCCCCGAGGCCUGCAAUCUAAGGAUGCUGGCGUAAUGGUUGCAAGUCGCCCGUCAUGAACC
rnacentral:rRNA from 1 species